rnacentral:rRNA from 1 species
GAUGAACGCUGGCGGCGUGCCUAAUACAUGCGAGUCGAGCGAACGGACGAGAAGCUUGCUUCUCUGAUGUUAGCGGCGGACGGGUGAGUAACACGUGGAUAACCUACCUAUAAGACUGGGAUAACUUCGGGAAACCGGAGCUAAUACCGGAUAAUAUUUUGAACCGCAUGGUUCAAAAGUGAAAGACGGUCUUGCUGUCACUUAUAGAUGGAUCCGCGCUGCAUUAGCUAGUUGGUAAGGUAACGGCUUACCAAGGCAACGAUGCAUAGCCGACCUGAGAGGGUGGUCGGCCACACUGGAACUGAGACACGGUCCAGACUCCUACGGGAGGCAGCAGUAGGGAAUCUUCCGCAAUGGGCGAAAGCCUGACGGAGCAACGCCGCGUGAGUGAUGAAGGUCUUCGGAUCGUAAAACUCUGUUAUUAGGGAAGAACAUAUGUGUAAGUAACUGUGCACAUCUUGACGGUACCUAAUCAGAAAGCCACGGCUAACUACGUG